AAAUCUAUUUGUUUGUUUACAUUUGAGCAACGAGAAUGAAUUCUGAGAAAAAGAUAUUAAUUGCGAAAGCAUUGGCUUUGAGAAGCCAAAUAAAUACCCUGCUCAACGACAAUUCUUCAAAAGAAAUAUUAGAUAAAAAGAUAGCCGAGUUAAAGAAACAACAUUUAAUCGUAUUUAAUUUAAUAAAGGACCUUGGGAUGCCGAUUAAUUCAUGUUGGACAAAACUGUCAACGUAAGAAUCAGUUUUGGGAACACGAUUGCCAACGAAAUGCAUCUGCUUUUUUUAAAGAAAACUUUCGUAUGGACAAAAGUUCCUAUGAUAAAUUAUGUGACAUCCUCCGCCCGCUACAAAAAAUGGAUACGAAUUACCGAAAAGCUAUUCCUGUAAAGAAAAGAGUGGCUAUUACAUUAUUUGCUUUAGGGUCAUCUGCAGAGUAUCGGAGUAUCGCCAACAUGUUCGGUGUGCAGUGGCGUAGCUACAACUUCGGGCACCCGGGGCCAAGGAUGUUCUGCCGCCCCUCUUUAGCUACCUACCUACAAG